rnacentral:rRNA from 1 species
UACGGAGGGUGCAAACGUUGCUCGGAAUCAUUGGGCGUAAAGCGCACGUAGGCGGCUUCUUAAGUCGGGUGUGAAAGCCCUCGGCUCAACCGAGGAAGUGCAUUCGAAACUGGGGGGCUUGAAUACUGGAGAGGAUGGCGGAAUUCCCGGUGUAGAGGUGAAAUUCGUAGAUAUUCGCAAGAACACCAGUGGCGAAGGCGGCUCACUGGCCCGGUACUGACGCUGAUGUGCGAAAGCGUGGGGAGCAAACAGG